rnacentral:pre_miRNA from 13 species
CACCAGCUCUGUUCUGGGGUAGCGGACGGAUGGUCGACCAGUUGGAAAGUAAUUGUCUCUAAUGUACUUCACCUGGUCCACUAGCCGUCUGUGCCCACCACAGCCCGCGAGCCUCA